GGGUGUUCCAGGUAAAUCCGGAACGCUGUUAACGCUGAGGCGUGAUGACGAGGCACUACGGUGCUGAAGCAACAAAUGCCCUGCUUCCAGGAAAAGCCUCUAAGCAUCAGGUAACACGAAAUCGUACCCCAAACCGACACAGGUGGUCAGGUAGAGAAUACCAAGGCGCUUGAGAGAACUCGGGUGAAGGAACUAGGCAAAAUGGUGCCGUAACUUCGGGAGAAGGCACGCUGACACGUAGGUGAAGUGAUUUACUCAUGGAGCUGAAGUCAGUCGAAGAUACCAGCUGGCUGCAACUGUUUAUUAAAAACACAGCACUGUGCAAACACGAAAGUGGACGUAUACGGUGUGACGCCUGCCCGGUGCCGGAAGGUUAAUUGAUGGGGUCAGCGCAAGCGAAGCUCCUGAUCGAAGCCCCGGUAAACGGCGGCCGUAACUAUAACGGUCCUAAGGUAGCGAAAUUCCUUGUCGGGUAAGUUCCGACCUGCACGAAUGGCGUAAUGAUGGCCAGGCUGUCUCCACCCGAGACUCAGUGAAAUUGAACUCGCUGUGAAGAUGCAGUGUACCCGCGGCAAGACGGAAAGACCCCGUGAACCUUUACUAUAGCUUGACACUGAACAUUGAGCCUUGAUGUGUAGGAUAGGUGGGAGGCUUUGAAGUGUGGACGCCAGUCUGCAUGGAGCCGACCUUGAAAUACCACCCUUUAAUGUUUGAUGUUCUAACGUGGACCCGUGAUCCGGGUUGCGGACAGUGUCUGGUGGGUAGUUUGACUGGGGCGGUCUCCUCCUAAAGAGUAACGGAGGAGCACGAAGGUUGGCUAAUCCUGGUCGGACAUCAGGAGGUUAGUGCAAUGGCAUAAGCCAGCUUGACUGCGAGCGUGACGGCGCGAGCAGGUGCGAAAGCAGGUCAUAGUGAUCCGGUGGUUCUGAAUGGAAGGGCCAUCGCUCAACGGAUAAAAGGUACUCCGGGGAUAACAGGCUGAUACCGCCCAAGAGUUCAUAUCGACGGCGGUGUUUGGCACCUCGAUGUCGGCUCAUCACAUCCUGGGGCUGAAGUAGGUCCCAAGGGUAUGGCUGUUCGCCAUUUAAAGUGGUACGCGAGCUGGGUUUAGAACGUCGUGAGACAGUUCGGUCCCUAUCUGCCGUGGGCGCUGGAGAACUGAGGGGGGCUGCUCCUAGUACGAGAGGACCGGAGUGGACGCAUCACUGGUGUUCGGGUUGUCAUGCCAAUGGCACUGCCCGGUAGCUAAAUGCGGAAGAGAUAAGUGCUGAAAGCAUCUAAGCACGAAACUUGCCCCGAGAUGAGUUCUCCCUGAGACUUUAGGUCUCCUGAAGGAACGUUGAAGACGACGACGUUGAUAGGCCGGGUGUGUAAGCGCAGCGAUGCGUUGAGCUAACCGGUACUAAUGAACCGUGAGGCUUAACCUUA
rnacentral:rRNA from 1 species